rnacentral:tRNA from 1 species
GACAGUGUGGCCGAGCGGUUAAGGCGUCUGACUCGAAUCUUAUUCGCGUUAUCAGUUGGGCUUUGCCCGCGCAGGUUCGAAUCCUGCUGCUGUCGUCA